UAACUAAAGGUGUUCUCAACUAGCCUACCUGGUGAAAUAAAGGUGUUCUCAACUGGCCUACCUGGUGAAAUAAAGGUGUUCUCAACUACCCUACCUGGUUAAAUAAAGGUGUUCUCAACUAGCCUACCUGGUUAAAUAAAGGUGUUCUCAACUGGCCUACCUGGUUAAAUAAAGGUGUUCUCAACUAGCCUACCUGGUUAAAUAAAGGUGUUCUCAACUGGCCUACCUGGUUAAAUAAAGGUGUUCUCAACUAGCCUACCUGGUUAAAUAAAGGUGUUCUCAACUAGCCUACCUGGUGAAAUAAAGGUGUUCUCAACUAGCCUACCUGGUGAAAUAAAGGUGUUCUCAACUAGCCUACCUGGUGAAAUAAAGGUGUUCUCAACUAGCCUACCUGGUGAAAUAAAGGUGUUCUCAACUAGCCUACCUGGUGAAAUAAAGGUGUUCUCAACUAGCCUACCUGGUUAACUAAAGGUGUUCUCAACUAGCCUACCUGGUUAAAUAAAGGUGUUCUCAACUAGCCUACCUGGUUAAAUAAAGGUGUUCUCAACUAGCCUACCUGGUUAAAUAAAGGUGUUCUCAACUAGCCUACCUGGUGAAAUAAAGGUGUUCUCAACUAGCCU